AUGCACUUUCUUCCCCGUCUUCCACUCUUCUUCCUCCUCUCUUCCCCAUCGUCGGCCGCACACCAUUUACCCCCGCUCACUGCUUGCCCGUCCGCGCCAUCUUCCUUGAAUUACCGAUGCAAGUCGAAGAAGGAUUGGCCCGUGCUGCCGGUUGGCGUCAAGUUCGAUCCCACGGAUCAGGAGCUAAUCGAGCACCUUGAGGCCAAAGUGAGUGCUGACAGCGCGAGAUUUCAGUCUCUCAUCGAUUUGUUCAUACCAACCAUCGACAGCGAGCACGACAUAUGCUACACCCAACCUGAGAAACUUCCAGGUAUCACACUGAGUGGCCUAAGGAAGCAUUUCUUCCAGCGCAAUUCCAGGGCGUUCAAAAGGGGCACGUGGACACGUCGCAAGAUACAGUCGGAGUGCGGCAUGCACGCGAUGUGGCACAAGACCGGCAAUACCUUGCCGGUGAUGGUCAACGGCUGGCAGACGGGCAGCAAAAAAGGUUCUGGUGCUGCACACCAACAAGAACUUCGACCAGCAGAGGACCAACUGGGUGAUGCACAAGUACCACCUCGGGGACCUGGAGCAAGAGAAGGAGCGGGAACUGGUCGAGCAAGUUUCAACUGGGCUGCAGACUGCCCAGGGUUGGUUUUGUUUUUAACAGGCCCAGCCCAUGACGACAACGGGGCACAAAGAUCCAGCAGAGAUUCGAAGAAACCACCACCAGCCCGGAGUUCGGCCGCCAGCCCAGCCCAACUCCGACCCCCAGGACUGCCGACCCCGGAAUCCUUUGAUGAAACACGUUUCGAACAAAACCACCAGGAGCCUGGACCCACCAACCUCCCGCAGCCGCUGUCCCCACCUGUCAUCCACCUGCGAAACCACGUCCCCAAAGGAGCCCGCGGGUUUCCCAAGUCCAGAAAGGGAAAGCCGCAAAGCCGGCCGCGGCCCCGCACCAACGCGAAGCGGCGCCUACCCGCUCGCUCGCUUCCGUCCCCGACUCCCCCUCCCUCCCCAUCCUAUUCGCUCCGCCGCACCACCCACCACAUCGCCCGCCUCCCGGAAUCCGCUCUCCUGCCGCCGCCGCCGCCGCCGCCGCCGCCACCCCGGCCGGAGGCCACGCGCCCCACGCGGCCGUUCGAACCCGAGGUCAGAUCCAAACCCCAGCCCCAGGUCCGAAUCGCGCCGCAAUUUUUCUAG
rnacentral:rRNA from 1 species